CAGCGCACCCAGCUCAAUUCCUCAUUUCUUCAGUUUCUUCAUGAGAAAGGGGAAGAGGACACAAAACAAGGUGGAACUGGACUUCCAGAGUCAGCUUCACAUGUUGGUUUUCCGUUGUCAUCGUUGUCAUCACACCCGUCAAAAGGCACCUAAUUCCCCUGAGCAAAGCCCUGGCACAAAAGCAGCUGAAGGAGAUAUGGCAUGGGAAAAGUAGCUGGAAAAUGAGCAGGACCUGUCAACUACAAGACACCCAGGCAAUACGAGGACCCCAUAUAAGGACUUCUCAUGGGCACCCAUGAAGACAUGGAAGGCACAAAAGAAGAGUGGCCAUCAUGGAAAGCCAACAUCCUAAGUUUUUCUUCCCUCAACCCAGCCACAAGCCACAAUCCCAAGGCAGCUGGAAAGUACAUAAUCCCUAAUCGAUAGGGUCCAUGGCCCUUCCAGCCUAUAACACCACGUCCAGAACAGCCAAAGGCUCAUGGAGCCAAGUUUGGGAUCAGUGUCACUGUCUUUUUUUUUUUUUUUUUUCCCUGUACCGGGGAUCAAACUCAUGACCAUGCGCUUACCAAGCAGGCGCUUAUGCCGCUGUGCUAUAUCCCCAGCCCAGUGUCACUCUGUCUUUAUUCUGCAACUACAGUAUUUAUUGUAAAACAAUAAAUCCACAACCUCCUUGCCCCACCCCCCAUGGGCCUGAGAUGGAACCCACAGCCUCAAACGUGCCAAGCACACAUUCUACCCCACCCAACAGCCACAUUUUGGUGCAAUUUCCAGAUCCCUAAAAACUACAAGCAAAUUUGUGUGACAAUUGCUCCCUAGACUGCCUUACCUACUUUACAGGUUAAUUAGGAAAUCAUUUAUGUAGAAGUGUUUUGAUAAAUAAAAAUGACGUGUGUGAGGCUGGGGUGCA